AGGGUUAUAGUUAAUAUUAUAACAUUUGAUUUGCAUUCAAAAAAUAUUGAAUUCUUCAAUUUACCUUA
rnacentral:tRNA from 1 species